GGUAUUUAGGGCAUGUUACUCCUUCGUUCCGGACUGAUGACCAAGAUAGAAUCCCAAUCAAACUUCAACUUCCAGGUAAGUUUCGUUUAAUUUUGUAAUUCUAUCUUGUCAUCAGUCCCUGUCACGAAGGAGUCCCAUGAGAUUUCAAAGUCCUGUGCUACGAAAUACCAAGCACAUCGAACAAUGUAAAUAAAUUUCAAUGAACUUUAAUUAAACAAUAUCAACCAAUUUUAUGCUCACUGUUUUAACAAUACACUACCAAAGUUUUGGCUAACAAUAUCCACUGGUUUUUCAUAAAGGGUUGCAAAUGUCCCAGCAUUCGACCAACCUGCCGCAUUCAUUAUUGCCUUCAUGGUAAGACCUUUAGCCUUGCAACUUGAUGUUGAUGCUGUGCGGCAACUAUGAGCAGAAUAUUUUUUGACAUCAAUUCCAGCUGAUCUGAGAACAAGUUUGACCCAACGCGCGAUUGUGUCUUUCGAGACUGGCUUAAAGGGUUUGAUGUAGCUCAGUAAUAGUUGAGAGUUCCUUGAGUGGUAAGGAGGCAACUUGCU